rnacentral:tRNA from 1 species
GCUGGUUUGGUGUAGUGGUAUCAAUCAUACAUGAUUCCCAUUCAUGUGACGUGGGUUCGAUUCCCGCAAUCAGCA